CAUUCACCCUCUGUUCGGAACAUGCCCCGCUCCAAUAGCUCCACCGCAUGAAGGAUGUCAACGCCCGGAUCACCCGUUGGUAUCUGGCACUCCAGCCAUUUAAGUUCAAGGUGGUCCACAGGUCGGGGGCGACUUCCUCUCCAGAAGGUGGGGGGGAGGGGGUAUGUUCGGGGGCCAAACAUUUGCCCCGGCCUGAGUCGGGCGGUGGGGGUAUGUGGAGGCGAGGGCAUGGUCGAGCGUUCGUCUGGGAAGAGAGGUUUUCACCUGAGAUGAAUUGCUGGUAAUUGCGGUUUCGUUGUUUGCAGUGAGAGAUGGGGGAACUGAAAGGGCCCACACCUCAGAGUGAGGGGGAGAGACCAGCUGAAGCUUCGAGUGUGUUGGCCGCUGCCAGUCCUAAUUUAUAUAUAUCGUUUGAGUGUUUGUGUGAAGUUUUACUGUUACACAGUCAAGCAAAUGUGUUUUUGCGUGAAGAAUAAAUCUACCUUUGAGUUGGAUUCGCUGUCUCCCACUUCCUCAUUCCUUGAACUUUGUUGCACUAUUAUGACUAAUUGCUGCUGAUGUAGCAUCCGUCCAAAUUCGAAGGUUUCUGAACUUUAGCUGGUUUGUAGAGAUUAAUUAACUCCUUGACGUGCUUAAUCACUUUAUUACUGAACUGAGGUGACAUCAUCCAUAGAUGAUUCACACUUUUUUAUCAAAGUGAUGAAUUGAGCCAAGGGAGAGCUGCUGUUUUUACUUUUGCUAACACUUAUUUAUGAACGAUCAUGCAUUUGAUUAUCAGGUAUGAAAGACUGAAUCAAUGGAGUAAUGAAAUAACAAACUGACAUGCAACCUCCCUCUUCCUCACUAAGAUGGAAUUGAGAACACAGGAUAUAGAUGGCUCUCUCACUAGGGUCAGUGCAUCAGUUGAGAGCAGGUGGAUGGUGCCCUUUUAAAUAAAAAUGCAUUUAUAUGUAUAGGAGACAGCUGUUAUCUGUACCAUCAAGGACUGCACUAGUAUAAGUAAAGCCAAGCUGGAGUCAACCAUGAAUGUGGCAGAAAAAAAAAAAAAAAGAGGAUAUUAAAUAACUCAAAGGAUUGUAAGUUUUUCCACAGACAAAACUAUAAAUCCAAAUAGCAUGAUGGAUCAGCCCAAGCAGAAGAAAAAUAAAUGCAUUUCUUUAAGGAGGGCCGAAAGACUGAAACAUUUAUGAAGGUGGUGAUGAAAUUGAAUUUCACACCUACAGUACCUACCACACAUGACUUUCACACAUUAGAUAGGGCUUGGAAAGAAAGCCCAGAUGAACAGCUAUGUAAAUGCCCCCUUUAUUAUAUACAGGACAUUAAAGUUAUUAAAUUAUCUAAUGCUUUGUUCUCCCACAAUGAUAUUCGACCAGUUUCAUAAUAAACACUGCUGUUUAUUAUGGAUGCUGCUGUUAUAAGAUUGUUGUAUGCAUGUUAUGAAGUAAUAAAUGACUUUGUGAACUUCAUCUUAAUGAUCACAGCUCAUUAACACACGUUUGUAAAAAUUAGAAUGUAUAAAAUGUCAAAACUAAGCAUUUCUGUCAUGCAUUAAAGGCA